CAGUAGCCACGGUAAUACGAAGGGUGCGAGCGUUAAUCGGAAUUACUGGGCGUAAAGCGUGCGUAGGCGGUGAGUUAAGUCUGAUGUGAAAGCCCACGGCUCAACCGUGGAGGGUCAUUGGAAACUGGAAAACUUGAGUGCAGAAGAGGAAAGUGGAAUUCCAUGUGUAGCGGUGAAAUGCGCAGAGAUAUGGAGGAACACCAGUGGCGAAGGCGACUUUCUGGUCUGUAACUGACGCUGAUGUGCGAAAGCGUGGGGAUCAAACAGGAUUAGAUACCCGAGUAGUCUGUCUCUUAUACAC
rnacentral:rRNA from 1 species